UACGUAGGUGGCAAGCGUUGUCCGGAUUUAUUGGGUUUAAAGGGUGCGUAGGUGGCGGGGUAAGUCAGGUGUGAAAUCUCGAGGCUCAACCUCGAAACUGCACUUGAUACUGCCUUGCUGGAGUACUGGAGAGGAGAUUGGAAUUUACGGUGUAGCAGUGAAAUGCGUAGAUAUCGUAAGGAAGACCAGUGGCGAAGGCGAAUCUCUGGACAGUUACUGACACUGAGGCACGAAGGCCAGGGGAGCAAACGGG
rnacentral:rRNA from 1 species